UUUUUAAGGCUAAAUAAUACUCCCUUGGCUAAAUAAUAAUCCAGCCAUCUGUUGAUGGACACUUGGGUUGCUUCUACCAUUUGGCUAUUGUGAAUAAUGCUGCUGGAUGUGCAGAUACUUCUUUAAGUCCGUGCUUUCAGUUCUUUUGGAUAUAUACCCAGAAGUGGAAUUGCCUGAUCAUAUGAUAAUUCUGUAUUGUAAUUCUGUUAAUUUUGCUGAGGAACCUGCAUACUGUUUUCCACAGAGGCUGCAUCAUUUUACAUUCGCAGCGCAAUUUCUCCACAUCCUUGCCAAUACUUGUAAUUUUCUGUCUUUUGUUUUUUUGAUUUUUUGCCGAUAGUCAUCUUAAUGAGUGUGAAGUGGUUUCGAUUGGCAUUUCCCUAGUAAAUGGUGAUGUUGAGCAUCUUUUCAUGUGCUUAUUGGGCAUUUGUUUAUCUUUUUUUGGAGAAAUGUGUAUUUCAAUUAUUUGCCCAUUUUUAAUCGGGCUUUUUUUUUGUUUUUUGUUUUUUUUGCUAUGGGAAUUCUUUGUAUGUUCUGGAUAUCAAUUUGGUGUCAUAUUCAAUAAAUCAUUGCCAAAUCCAGUAUUAUGAAGCUUUUCCCUUAUAUUUUCUUCUAAGAGUUUUAUAGUAUUAGCUCUUACAUUUAGGUCUUCAGUCCAUUUUGGGUUAGUUUUUAAGUAACUUAGUGUAAAGUAAGGGUCCAACUUCAUUUUUGUUGUAGUGAAUAUCCAGUUUUCCCAACACACUUCGUUGAAAAGACUGUCUUUUCCCCUUUGAAUGUUGUUGGCACUCUAGUUGAAAAUCAUUUCAUUAUGUAUGUGAGGGGUUAUUUCUGGCCUCUAUUCUGUUCUACUGGUUCAUAUGUCUCUUUUCUUGGCAGUAUCACACUGUUUUGAUUACCACAGCUUUGUAAUGAGUUUCGAAAUCAGGAUAUGUGAGUCUGCCACCUUUGUUCUUUUUUUUCUAGACUGUUUAGGCUGUUUGAGGUUCAACUUUUUUUUUAAGUGAACUAAACUAUGCUUUAUGUUAUAAAUCAUAUUUUUAAGAAAGUAUUUUAAAUUUUAUUCAGAUGUUUGCAAGUAUGUAUUUAGUAAUCUAUACACUAAAUGUUCCUUUGUCAUUAUUCUAAUUUAUCCAAAAAGCACUACAGCACCUCAUUUUAAAAGCAAUAGAAUUUUUUUGUAUCAGUUUAAUCAUGAUACAUACACGGGCAAACUUUAGAAGAAAUAUUAAUUUUCUUUUUGAUGUAUAUAGAAGUUGAGAAGUUGUAAUUACAUCCUCUACAGCCAUGUACCCAAGAUUAAGUUUUCUACUGAUGUGUUAUGCAUUAUAUGUUAGCCUUCCUGUGGCCUCAUUAUGUUAGGUGAUGUUUGAAAAAUAUAUUUGAUAUUCUGAAUAUCAAAUCAAAGAGGAGCAUAAAGAAUUUUUCAGUUUUUCCACUAUAAAAAACAAAACAAACCUUUAGGGCCUAGAUAUUUUUCACAAACAAGGAAAUCAUUUGGAUUACAUGUCAGAGCAUUUAUUGCUUGAAUUAGUCAAUCAAAUAUUAAUCUAUUCAACAAACAUUUAAUGAAUGUCUACUCCAGGCAUUUUGCUAGCCCCAGGGAUAUAGAUGUAAAUAUGACUUGUUUGGGCCCUCAAAUCAGCCCCACUUCAAUAGAGAGCCACAUGAAAGCAAAUAAUUGUAAAUGUAGCAUGCUAAAUGCAAUAUUGAGGUAUGUGCUGUGGCCAGUUGCAAGCAUAGUAUAGCUUAUGGAAAUGUGGAGGGGUGUCUCCAUGGAAGCUUGCUAACUAAUCACAAAGCAACUUACAGUAAUGAAUUGCAGUUUCGUAGACUAAAAAAUGUCGUGUUGUCAUUGUCCUAGAGUUGGAUAUAUUCCUACCCUAACUUAGAACUUGAAAUUUAUCUGUCACAAAUAUCUUUCAUUCAUUAUUACAAUGUAUUAAGAUAUAAACUCUUAGUUCCAGGGUCCCACAUGGUGGGUUUGCUAAUAUCAUGGGUGGAAGUGGAUUGCAAAACUUUACAAUCGCUGCUGUGCCAUAUACUCCAAAUCUUUUACCAACUUCAAGCACAUGCAUCAACAUGCUGAAGUUACCUGAAUACCCAAGUAAAGAAAUACUCAAGGACAGACUUCUUGUGGCACUACAUUGUGGCAGCUAUGGUUACACAAUGGCAUAAUGAAGUCUGGAAAACUCAUCUGACUACUGAUGCACAAUUCAGAAUGGCAGAAGUAAUUUGGGAAAAUGUCAACAAAAAAGCAGCCUGACUGCAACCCAUAGGCAGGGCUGAUGCUUCCAAUUUAUAAAGGAUCAUCAGGUUUUCUGUUUCUCUCUUUUCCCUUUUUUGUUUUCUCUGUUUGUGAUACAAUUAGAAAAUAAAAAAUCACAGUAGAUUUUAUUUUUUAAAAUGCUAACUGAAAGUAAUAGAGACUGUCCUUUUUCAUAAUUAAUUUUAUCCAAGAUUGUAUUAAGGCAAAAUCUGAUUCUACAUUCCACCUCUGCUAUGUAACUGUCUUGUUAAAAGGGUGUUUUCUCCUAAUUUCUGAUAUAUUAUAUGAGGUCAUCCAGCUGCUAUGUUCUUUUGCAUGUAAACUGCCAUUUAUAUUUUAGAAAACUAUUGUAUAGAAUGGAUUAAGUUAGAUUAUCUAUAAAGCCACAAAUAUGUAUUUUCCCAC
rnacentral:sRNA from 1 species